rnacentral:rRNA from 1 species
UACGAAGGGGGGCGAGCGUUGUUCGGAAUUACUGGGCGUAAAGGGCGCGCAGGCGGCUCUGAAAGUCAGAUGUGAAAGCCCCGGGCUUAACCUGGGAAUUGCAUUUGAUACUCUGGAGCUUGAGUACGGGAGAGGAGAGUGGAAUUCCCAGUGUAGAGGUGAAAUUCGUAGAUAUUGGGAAGAACACCGGUGGCGAAGGCGGCUCUCUGGACCGUAACUGACGCUGAGGAGCGAAAGCGUGGGGAGCGAACAGG